rnacentral:rRNA from 1 species
CCUACGGGGGGCUGCAGUGGGGAAUAUUGGACAAUGGGCGCAAGCCUGAUCCAGCCAUGCCGCGUGUGUGAAGAAGGCCUUCGGGUUGUAAAGCACUUUUGUUGGGGAAGAAAAGCCGUCGGUUAAUACCCGGUGGUGAUGACGGUACCCAAAGAAUAAGCACCGGCUAACUUCGUGCCAGCAGCCGCGGUAAUACGAAGGGUGCAAGCGUUACUCGGAAUUACUGGGCGUAAAGCGUGCGUAGGUGGUUUGUUAAGUCAGAUGUGAAAGCCCCGGGCUCAACCUGGGAAUUGCAUUUGAUACUGGCUAACUAGAGUGAGGUAGAGGAGAGUGGAAUUCCCGGUGUAGCAGUGAAAUGCGUAGAGAUCGGGAGGAACAUCAGUUGCGAAGGCGGCUCUCUGGACCAUCACUGACACUGAGGCACGAAAGCGUGGGGAGCAAACAGGAUUAGAUACCCAAGUAGUC